rnacentral:rRNA from 1 species
CAACUCUCUUCCCCCCUCCCGCAGGUCGGCUUGCACGCCGCAACUCGCCUGCAUGAACCCGGAAUCGCUAGUAAUCGCGGAUCAGCACGCCGCGGUGAAUACGUUCCCGGGCCGUGUACACACCGCCCGUCACACCACGAGAGUUUGUAACACCCGAAGUCGGGGAGGUAACCUUUUUGGAGCCAGCCGCCUAAGUUGGGAUAGAUGAUUGGGGUGAAGUCGUAACAAGGU